ensembl:lncRNA
CCUCAAAGGGGACUGAGCUCCUUCUGGAGGGAGAGCUGGAGCAUGAGUGGGGUGCUCCCUUGCUGCCUUUGAAUAUGCAGGCCACGCGGUAAGGAAUGCUGGCGGCCAGCCGGACUUGAGACUGUUCCUGCUCAGAACCAAGAGACAAGUGGGAGUACAGGCAUACGACCACACAGGACUCAGUCCCUGCCUGCACCACGUGGUCUGGGAGGGGAUGAGAAAGCAGGCUGGCUGGCACACAGACGGUAGCUUCAUAAGACUGUGAGCAGGAAACGCAGUCAUGCUGUUCCUGGGCUUCUGACCACAGGGCUUUUGACCACAGAGGUGUCAGCUGCCCCAUGAGUGCUGUUCUAAGCCUCUAAGUUUGUGUGGUCAUUGUUACAAAACAAUAGAAAACUAACACAGCUAGGAAGCAGACACCAGGGUCAGAGCAGAUGGAAGAUUCUGGAGGGCUCCUAGUUGGUUAAAGGGGGUGGCUGCCACUUGGUGCCAGCCUUCUGCUGCAUGUGAAAGUAUGGAGGGGAUAUAAGUAUACUUAUAGCUGAUUCACGUUGUGGUACAGCAGAAACAAAGCGAUUAUACUGCAAUUAAAAAAUAAAAAAGAGAAAAUAUGGAUUCAGUGUUUGCAGAUCUGUGGGCUCUAGAGAAGCCAAGAAUCUGGAUUUUUGUAUGAAACAGCUUGACUUUUAACAUGGAAAUUCUACACACACACAGAGACACACACAUGAAGUCAAGGAACCGCCUUCAUGCCCUGACUCUGGAAUGACAGUCUGCUACCAACAGUCUUAAAUUUCUAAUUUGUGCGGAGAUGUGGAGGUUCACAAAAAUGGAGAAAUUUCCUGGGAAAACAGGUCAUCAUUCUUUUGAAUGUUUCUUUAAAGCAAAGUGUUCCUGCUGCACCAGACUGCACCCUAGUCACAGCUACCAAGUCACAGGCCAGAGGAGACCAGGAAGACCCGAUAGCUAGAUGCAACGUGGCACUCUGAGCUGGAUCUGGAGACCAGGAAGACGCGACAGCUAGAUGCGAAGUGGCACUCUGAGCUGGAUCCGGGCACUAUAAAGGGUAGUAGCAAAAAAUAAUGAUGAAAUCAAAUAAAGUCUGGAGCUUGGUUAAAUGUCAGGGUCUUGGUUUUGACAAGUGUACUGUGAAAAUAUAAGAUGUUUCCAGUGAGUGAAACUGGCUGAGGGGUGUACAGGAACUCUGUGUAGCAUCUUUGCAACUUGUCUGAAACUCUAAAAAUUACUGCAAAAUACGGAUGUUUAUUGAUAUUUAAAAGACACAAGCGUUAGAAGGGGAGGGGUGACGGACAGGAAGAGCACAGAGGAUUUUUAUAGCAGUGAAAUUAUUCUGCACGGUACUUCAUGCACGCUCAGUCACUUUGGUUGUGUAUGACUCUUUGUGACACCAUGGACCGUAGCCUGCCAGGCUCCUCUGUCCAUGAGAUUCUCCAAGCAAGAGUACCGGAGUGGGUAGCCAUGCCCUCCUCCAGGGGAUCUUCCCAAUCCAGGGAUCGAACUAAAUCGCUAGUGUUUUCUGCAUCACAGGUGGAUUCUUUACCGCUGAGCCACUGGGGAAGACUGCAUGAUAUUAUAAUGAUGGAUACAUGUCAUUAUGCGUGCCUGCUAAGGUGCUUCAGUGGUGUAUGACUCUUUGUGACCCUGUGGACUGUAGCCCGCCAGGCUCCUCUGUCCAUGGGAUUCUCUAGGCAAGAAUACGGGAAGGGGUUGCCAUGCCCUCCUCCAGAGGAUCUUCCUGACCCAGGGAUCGAACCAG